GCUGGGUGCGGUGGUGCACACCUGUAAUCCCAGCACUUGGGAGGCUGAGGCAGGAGGAUUGAAAGUUCAAAGCAAGCCUCAGCAAGAGUGAGGCACUAAGCAACUCAGUGAGACUCUGUCUCUA
rnacentral:sRNA from 1 species